GGUACCAUAGCUCAGUUGGUAGAGCAACGGACUGAAAAUCCGUGAGUCCUUGGUUCAAAUCCGAGUGGUACCA
rfam:Bacteroidetes bacterium GWF2_49_14 gwf2_scaffold_1615, whole genome shotgun sequence.